rnacentral:rRNA from 1 species
CCUACGGGGGGCAGCAGUAGGGAAUCUUCCACAAUGGACGAAAGUCUGAUGGAGCAACGCCGCGUGAGUGAAGAAGGGUUUCGGCUCGUAAAGCUCUGUUGGUAGUGAAGAAAGAUAGAGGUAGUAACUGGCCUUUAUUUGACGGUAAUUACUUAGAAAGUCACGGCUAACUACGUGCCAGCAGCCGCGGUAAUACGUAGGUGGCAAGCGUUGUCCGGAUUUAUUGGGCGUAAAGCGAGUGCAGGCGGUUCAAUAAGUCUGAUGUGAAAGCCUUCGGCUCAACCGGAGAAUUGCAUCAGAAACUGUUGAACUUGAGUGCAGAAGAGGAGAGUGGAACUCCAUGUGUAGCGGUGGAAUGCGUAGAUAUAUGGAAGAACACCAGUGGCGAAGGCGGCUCUCUGGUCUGCAACUGACGCUGAGGCUCGAAAGCAUGGGUAGC